AAGUAGUAAAUCUAAAUAAAACUUAUUUAUUUUGGCGGCAUUUCAUCUUAUUAGAGGAACUUGUUAUAUAAUCGAUAAUCCACGAUAAUUUUCACUUUUAUUAAAAGUUUAUAUACCUCCAUCUUAAGAACUAAUUUAAAAAUCUUAUUCUAAAAAAUAUAUAAUAAGUUAGGUCAAGGUGUAACCUAAAUAAAAGCAAUAAUGAGUUACUAUAAAAACUAUUUAAGAAUUAUUAUUAUUAAAUAAUUUUGAAAAAGGAUUUAAUAGUAAUAAAAAAAUAAUAAUUUUUUUUGAAAAAGAUAAUAAAUGUGC
rnacentral:rRNA from 1 species